rnacentral:rRNA from 1 species
UGUCCGGAUUUACUGGGUGUAAAGGGUGCGUAGGCGGCUUUGCAAGUCAGAUGUGAAAUCUAUGGGCUCAACCCAUAAACUGCAUUUGAAACUGUAGAGCUUGAGUGAAGUAGAGGCAGGCGGAAUUCCCCGUGUAGCGGUGAAAUGCGUAGAGAUGGGGAGGAACACCAGUGGCGAAGGCGGCCUGCUGGGCUUUAACUGACGCUGAGGCACGAAAGCGUGGGUAGCAAACAGGAUUAGAUACCCUGGUAGUCCACGCUGUAAACGAUGAUUACUAGGUGUGGGGGGUCUGACCCCUACCGUGCCGGAGUUAAC